rnacentral:rRNA from 1 species
GACGAACCGUGCGAACGUUAUUCGGAAUCACUGGGCUUAAAGCGCGUGUAGGCGGGAAGGUACGUCCGUCGCUGAAAUCCCCCCGGCUCAACCCGGGGAACGGGCGCGGAUACGGCCGAUCCUGGGAGGGGCGUGAGGGGGACCUGGAACUCCGGUGGAGCGGUGAAAUGCGUUGAGAUCGGAAGGAACGCCCGUGGCGAAAGCGAAGGUCCUGGA